GUGCCAGCAGCCGCGGUAAUACGUAGGUGGCAAGCGUUGUCCGGAAUUAUUGGGCGUAAAGCGUGCGCAGGUGGUUUCUUAAGUCUGAUGUGAAAUCCCCGGGCUUAACUGUGGGGCUUCAUUGCAAACUGGGUGACUUGAGUGCAGAAGAGGAAAGUAGAAUUCCUAGUGUAGCGGUGAAAUGCGUAGAGAUUUGGAAGAAAACCAGUGGCGAAGGCGACUUUCUGGUCUGUAACUGACGCUGAGGCAUGAAAGCAUGGGGAGCAAACAGGAUUAGAUACCCUGGUAGUCCACGCCGUAAACGAUGAGUGCUAGGUGUUGGAGGGUU
rnacentral:rRNA from 1 species